rnacentral:lncRNA from 1 species
GUCUUGGCGGCGGCUUCUUUUUCCCUUCUUCGGCGAAGAAAAUGGCCAGGCACCCAGGCGUCGACUGGUCGACGACGGCUCUGUUCCAACAAGUCCGCGUCGUCGGCGUCCGGCCGGGCGCGCUGCAAAGUCAUGACAGAAGAAAAAAAACAUGCGCGAGCGUGACGGGCAAGAAGACUCCAGCAGAUCGAGGUUAAUUGCUAGUACAUUUCAACUCUUGGCCGCGGCACAAACACGUGCUUGUCCCUCUGUUAAUUACUACUAUAUUGCUAGAUUUCAACUAAUAUAGGCGACAAAUAAAAAAGAACGGAGGGAGUAAUUAGCAUCUGGAAUCAAUCCAUAUAUAUAGGAGGAUUACAUACAUAUGCAUCUGCAUGCAGCUGGGCAUGGCGAGCGCGCUGGAGACGCUGUGCGGGCAGUCGUACGGGGCGAAGCAGUACCACAUGCUGGGCAUCUACCUGCAGCGGUCGUGGAUCAUCCUGUCGGCGUGCGCCGUGGUGCAGCUCCCCGUGUACCUGUUCACGGAGCCGCUGCUGGUGGCGCUGGGGCAGGACCCGGACAUCUCGGCGGUGGCGGGGACCGUGGCGCUCUGGUACAUCCCCGUGCUCUUCUCCUUCGUCUGGGCCUUCCCGCUGCAGAUGUACCUGCAGGCGCAGAUCAAGAACAUGAUCAUCACGUACCUCGCCAUGCUCAACCUCGGCCUCCACCUCGCCCUGUCCUGGCUCGCCGCCGUCCACCUCCGCCUCGGCCUCGCCGGCGUCAUGGGCUCCAUGGUCGUCGCCAUGUGGAUCCCCGUGUUCGGCCAGCUCGCCUUCGUCUUCUUCGGCGGAUGCCCUCUCACCUGGACCGGAUUCUCGUCCGCCGCCUUCGCCGACCUCGGCGCCAUCGUCAGGCUCUCGCUCUCUUCUGGUGUCAUGCUCUGGUAAGCAAAGCAAGCCACUGUGGUCUGUGGGUGUGGAUGGUAUCCAUCCGCAUCGUAGUCUUUUUUUCUAGAAUUUUGAAUUUAUCAUCAAGACUCCUCCCAUGGAAUAAUAAUUAAAACAUUAUACAUGUGCCCCCCUUUGGCCGUACCUUUCAGCUUGGAAUUGUGGUACAACACCAUACUGGUGCUCCUCACAGGAUACAUGAAGAAUGCGGAGAUCGCACUUGACGCCCUUUCGAUAUGGUAAUAUUAAAGGAACCCUAAUGAUAAUGUCCACAGAUCACUCUACACUUUCAUCACUUGCUAGCUGCUUUACUAAAUGUGCAGCCUUAACAUCAAUGGUUGGGAGAUGAUGAUCUCCAUAGGCUUCCUGGCUGCAACAGGGUACGUACGCAACCACAUCAGUUUCUUAUCUUUUUUUAAUAACCAUGCAUGCAACCUAACAAAACACAACGAACCACCUAUCUUUUUCAGAGUGCGAGUGGCGAACGAGCUGGGAGCUGGGAGCGCGAGGAGGGCCAAGUUCGCGAUCUACAACGUGGUCGUCACCUCCUUCGCCAUCGGGCUCGUGCUGUUCGUGCUCUUCCUCUUCUUCCGCGGGAGCCUCGCCUACAUAUUCACCGAGAGCCAGGCGGUGGCCGCAGCCGUCGCCGACCUCUCGCCCCUGCUGGCCUUCUCCAUACUGCUCAACAGCGUCCAGCCCGUGCUGUCAGGUGUCGCUGUUGGUGCCGGUUGGCAAGGCGUAGUCGCGUACGUCAACGUCACGUCGUACUACCUGAUCGGCAUUCCUCUUGGCGCAGUCCUAGGCUACGUGGUGGGGCUUCAUGUGAAGGUGAGGUGCUCUCAGAGCCUGGUAUAUAUACAUGUCCCAUGCAUGCAUGGUGUGUCUCUUAUUAUUAGUGCAUCCAGCUCGGCUCUAAUAAGUUGUCGAAAUGGACAUGUAUAUAUAUGGACAGGGCAUUUGGAUCGGAAUGCUGCUCGGAACGCUGGUCCAGACUAUCGUGCUUCUCUUCAUAACAGUAAAGACCGACUGGGACAAACAGGUUUGCUGCUUGCUCAGUGCGUGUGCGUUGUGCGUUGUGCUGUGGCUGAACAACUACAGUCUUAGCCGAGAACGGCAUUAAUGUGCUGAACUAUUAUGAACCCCCUCCCUCUCCCUAUCUGCAGGUGGUGGCCGCUCAAGAGAGGCUGAAGAAAUGGUACAUGGAAGAGAACAGAAGGAUGCAGGCCUCGAGGGGGAAUCCUUGAGCCGGUCCUUCAACCAACUUCAAGCCUGGCCUUUGUGGGUUGCUGAUUGACACAAUUUUAUGCUAAUAUUUCUACUAUUCAUCACCUCAACAUCAAAGUGAGCCCGGCAUUCCAGAUCGUGUGCUCCUCGAGCCAAGCAAUGGAAAGGCACUGUCACUGUCAGCAGCAGUAGGAUAACCAAAAAAAAACAUUGUGUUAUUUGCUAAGUGCGAGUUUGGCUCAAUUUUCGCUAAGUGAGAGAGAGCCUAUGUUGGCUAAGUGCGACUUUGGCUCAAUUUUGGGCGUAUGCUAAUAUGUUUCACAACAGGGCAGUGCUUGAGAUUUGGGAUAUCUGUAGCGCUAUAACUGACUCAAUUUUGGGCAUAUGCUAAUUUGCUAAGUGCGAACAAAUUCAUGCAGUUAUGGCCAUGCACUACUACACUUCGACAUGUGUGUGUAUAUACUCAGGUUCAUGAAAAUAGUGUGGUAGAUCGAUCGUGGGACUGAACCACAUAUUGAUCACAUCAAUUAGUAAUAAGGGACCUAGCGUCGUAUCGUAUCACAUUCUGCAACCAAACAUGAAAGGAACACAGAGAACACAACCAUAUUCACAGAGCACUACGCUAAUAACUGGAACAAAUUAUUUAGGUGCAAACUGUAUCGUCACCUUAAUCGAACUGGAGUGUCGACGACGAACAGGGCUACUGGAUGACAGGUAGUGUAGUUACGAAGCUGCAAUCACAACGUACAGGAAAAUAUUAGUAAGAAACUAAGAAUACAAGAUGAGGAAUGUUCGAAGUACUGAAUCGAACAGAUCACACCGAUAGCAUUUGAUACAUAUACAUCAAAGAAACACGAUUCGAAGGCAAAAAGGAAUCAAUGUCGCAGCCACAUAGCCGGACGUGGAAGGAUCCAUACCAAGUCAGAAGGGGGAACGAAUAGUACCAGAAGACGAUUCCGUGAAUAACAGCUAAUCGGCCGCGGCGAGAUGAACCACCGGGUACAGAAACAACACCCGCCAGUAAGGUAAGAGGGAAGGAUGGAAGCUUGGAGAGGGGGAAAACGCGAGAACCUGGUGGGGCGCGGCGACGACGGCCUAGCUGGAAGUGGCGGCGGUGAGCAGGCACGAAGGAUGAGAGCGGAACCCUAACGCGCGGGGGAGUGAGGCCACGGGUCUGCUCGGCCGAAUUUUUUUUUGUAUUUUAGCCCUUAAACAGAAGUAAAAUCACGUUUAGACCUAAAAAAAUUUUAAAUGCAGUUUUG